rnacentral:rRNA from 1 species
UACGAAGGGGGCUAGCGUUGUUCGGAUUUACUGGGCGUAAAGCGCACGUAGGCGGAUCGUUAAGUCGGGGGUGAAAUCCUGGAGCUCAACUCCAGAACUGCCUUCGAUACUGGCGAUCUUGAGUCCGGAAGAGGUGAGUGGAACUCCUAGUGUAGAGGUGGAAUUCGUAGAUAUUAGGAAGAACACCAGUGGCGAAGGCGGCUCAUUGGUCCGGUACUGACGCUGAGGUGCGAAAGCGUGGGGAGCAAACAGG